rnacentral:rRNA from 1 species
AUUGAACGCUAGCGGGAUGCCUUACACAUGCAAGUCGAACGAGUGGCGAACGGGUGAGUAAUGUAUCGGAACGUGCCCAGUAGCGGGGGAUAACUACUGGAAACGGUAGCUAAUACCGCAUACCAUCAGAUGUGCCCAGAUGGGAUUAGCUAGUAGGUGGGGGAAUGGCUUACCUAGGCGACGAUCGCUAGCUGGUCUGAGAGGAUGACCAGCCACACUGGAAUGGAGACACGGUCCAGACUCCUACGGGAGGCAGCAGUGGGGAAUAUUGCACAAUGGGCGCAGGCCGGCUGCAGCCAUGCCGCGGGUGUGAAGAAGGCCUUCGGGUUGUAAAGCACUUUCAGCGAGGAGGCGUUACUCGCAGAAGAAGCACCGGCUAACUCCGUGCCAGCAGCCGCGGUAAUUC